ACUUUUUAUUCUAUGAUAUACAAGUGAUUCCAUCAUAGCGAUAUUCUAUCACGUUAAAUGAAAUGUUUCUGCACGUUUAUUGCCAAAUGUGAAGUUUUAAAUAAAAUGUGCAAAUUAUUUGUAUUCAACGCAUUCAACAAUGCGGCAUGGUGAUCUAACCUUAAAUCAUUUAUUCGACGCACUUGUAGAUAAUUGAUAAAAAGAAUUUAUUGAGUGUAUAAAAAUUAAAUUUUUAUAAUGACCGAUUCUGAAACAAAAGAAACUCCAACAGUGGAGGAUACAACGGAGAAAAAUGAAAAUGAUCCGUAUGCUUAUCUCGAAAGGGAUAAUUUCACAUCAGAAAAAUUUAAAGUUGAAGUGCGUGGUUUGCCAAAAUAUUAUGGAAUUGGAGAGUUUAAAAAAUUGUUGAAUGAAAAACUUGAUUUACAAACUUGCAAGGUAAAACCACCGAAACAGUCAAGCGGUUGGCUGUAUGUUUGUUUUAGAAGCGAAGAAUGUCGUCAGCGAGCAAUAUCUACUUUAAAUGGAAUUUUAUGGAAAAACUGUAAGCUUUCUGCGCAGAUCGCUAAACCAGCUCCAGAUCCUUUUGUUAAAAGAAAAUUAGAAGAGAAUAAAAGUAAUAAGAAAUUAAAAAAUGAACAUUACGAUCCAGAUAUGUCGGCUGUGGAUAGAAUUAAAUUUACAACGACUCCUCUUUGGAACAUGCCUUAUUCGAGUCAACUUGAAUUUAAGCAAAAGGAAAUGAGAUCUGUGUUAAUGAAAAUUGGUCAGAAAAUGCUUGAAGGAAACGUACAUUUGUCUGAGUGGAUUAAUUCGCAAAAGAAAUUAUAUGAAAAUUUGCCUUGUGAAUUGAAACCUAUUUUACAUGCCGAAAGUACAGAAGCUUAUAGAAACAAGUGUGAAUUUACGAUUGGUAAGAAUAUAGAAGGUGAUAAAGUUAUAAUUGGAUUUAGAUUGUCUAGUUAUGCUGCUGGUUGUACAGCAGUAGGUCCUAUUGAUGACCUUUGUCACAUUCCUAAAAAUAUGAAAACUGCAGUAAAGACAUUAGAAGAAUUUGUACAAAAUUCUGGAUUAGAACCUUUUAAUCCAGUAGAUCACAGUGGAUAUUGGAAACAAGUUACUGCUAGAACUAGUCGUCUCAAUCAAUUAAUGUUAAUAGUUGGAAUAAAUCCUCAAGAUUUAACCAUUGAAAGGUUAAAAGAGUUACAAAAUCAAUUGAAAGAAUUUUUUGAAUCUGGAAAAGGAUCCACUAUAGAUGUUACAUCACUUUAUUUUCAAACAAUGGAAAAUAAAAGUGUCGGCAGCGAAUCUAGAAACGUUCUACAGCAUAUAAGUGGAACUGAAUAUAUCGAAGAAAUUUUGUUAGAAAAGAAAUUUCGUAUAUCACCACAAGCCUUUUUCCAAGUGAAUACAUUAAGUGCUGAAGUUUUAUAUAAAGCAGUCAUCGAUAUGGCAGAACCAACUAACGACACUACAUUAUUGGAUAUUUGUUGCGGAACUGGAACUAUAGGUUUAUCAUUCUCAAAGCAUUGCGGUGAAGUGUUAGGAGUAGAAGUUGUAUCCGAUGCUAUUAAAGAUGCAAAACAAAAUGCUGUUCAAAAUGGUGUUACCAAUUGUGAAUUUUUUGUUGGUAAAGCAGAAGAUAUUUUAUAUCCUAUUAUUCAAAGGGCAACAAAAUCUCGUAUUGUAGCUGUGGUUGAUCCACCAAGAGCUGGUAUACAUCAAAAAACAUUAUUAACGUUACGUAAAACGAGAAAAUUGACAAGAUUAGUUUAUAUAUCUUGUGACCCUCGAGCAGCUAUGAGAAACUUGAUAGAUCUCUCAAGACCAAGAUCGAAACAAUAUUACGGAGAACCUUUUGUACCGAUAAAAGCUAUUGCCGUGGAUAUGUUUCCUCAUACGAAACAUUGUGAAUUAAUAAUAUGCCUUGAAAGAUUAUCCGAAGUAACAAACUCAAAUGUUAAUUCUUGAAAGUAUUCAAAUUAAAUAUUUUUUAAAUGGGAAAAAUGUAUGUACAUUUAUGUUGUAUUUUUGAAUUAUCGAUAUCAAUAAUAAUUUAUGUACGAUAUGAGACCAAGGACAUGUCCUUUUAAACGGAUAGAUAGAAAAAUUAUUUCAAUAAUUAAACUUUAUUUAAUAUCGCAUCAUUCUAUAAUUAUGACAUAUAGCAAAUAUAAUUCUUAAUAAUUUUAAUGGAUGUUAUCUAGCAUUUCAAAAUACGCGUCACUUAUUCAAAAUCAAGAUAAAAAAAAAAGAAAAAACAAUUAGAGAGAAUAAAACCAAUUGGAUAAAAUCAAUUAGAUAAAAAAGAUUAGAUAAAAAAAAUUAGAUAAAAAUCUAAAUGAUCUUUCAAACGAUCACAUUAUGGAAAUACGUAAAUUAAUUAAUUUAUAGCUUACCUUUCAUCAAUUAAGUUUUAAUAUAUCAAUGCUUUUACAGAGAGGCACUAUUUUUAUUCUUUUUUUCAUUAAUAUUCAUUAUUUUUUUAGAAGCUUCGUCGUACGUUCAUUUUCGAUCUUACCUUGAAGAGAAAAUUGUUUGAGAUUUAAGAUUGCAUAAAAUGCGAUUGACAAGUAACACGAAGCGUAUCAAUAAAAAUAUUCUUUCAUUUUGUCAAGGAACUCGAGAGCACAGUCGAGAUUAAAAACAUUUAUUUAUCGCGAUUUUGUAUCGAUGAAAAAUCGUAUUUGUUCUUAUAGAUAAUGUAUUUGUUGCUGUUAAUCAUUAUGCAAUAUCAGCCAUGGAAAAAGUCAUCGAUCGUUGAUCAGAAAUUAGGAAUAAAAUUGAUAAUUGAAAAUGUUUAGAGCCGAAGGUACCAUCUGUGAAUUGGCAACUUGAAUCGGUGGAGCUGAUCUUGUUAAAGCCUUGCCGCUUCCUAUCUCUGCUCUUCCUUGAUUAUCAACAACCUUUUGCAAGGCUAUCAUCAAUUGAUCGAACAAAAGAGCUGCUCUUUUUGGCACCACAACCUGUUAACGAGAAUGGAAUUAAAGAAAACAUUAGAAUAAGAAAUUGAAUAUGAUCAUCAAAACACGCUGAUUGGUUAAUGAAACGACGGGAUGGCCAAUUAGAUUAGUCGUAUUAUCGCUGGAAGCGAUCCCCAAACUUGUUGGUUCCUAUUUGAAUCCAAUUAUCCUUCAUUUAUCUAAUCGAUAAUAAACGAUCGAGAAGUUAUCUAUCUAUGUAAGGAAGAUUUAAGUAUCAUUUAUAAAAAGAUUUCCGUUUGCGCACGUGUCUGUUUUUCAAAUUAUUUACAAAAGAUCCUCGAUGCACGAUUGUAUCCUUGUGUAUAUUUAAAUUUGACUGACGUAGUAUUGCAAAAAAAAAUGGCGACAACCGGUAAAGGAUUCAGUCAUCGAACUGGAGACGAUUAAAAUAUUGAAUAACAGAAAUCAGGCAUUAUUACAAGUCAUCGUUUCUAUUCUCGCUCGAGUGAAAAUCAGAACGAUAAACAGAAAUUUCUGGGUUGGCAAAUAUGUGGUGGGUGUAAACAUCGAACCAAUGACCGAGAGAAAUGGAGGAAACGAGAAAGAAAAUGACAAUUUUCUUGCAAUCUUGCAACUCUUGUCGAUUUUAUUUAUACGAUCGAUUUCCCAAAGGAUAAUCGGGAUAAUCGAGAUUGGCAGACGGGUCGUUGUCGGCGGCGUUUCUUUUAACGACGAAACGUUGAUCAACGUUAGCAACAAUGAUGCACGGUAAUAUUAUAGCAAGAAGAAGCAACGAACGGAUUAUAUUCCUUCCCAUUGUGAAUUAUUACUAAUUCAACCGAAUAUCAAUUAAAAUUCUUCAUCCAACGUUAAAUAAAUUGUCUUACGUCGAAAUUUA